UUAAACUUUAGUGGCGAACGGGUGAGUAACGCGUAAGCAAUCUGCCCCUAAGACGAGGAUAACAGUUGGAAACGACUGCUAAGACUGGAUAGGAGACAAGAAGGCAUCUUCUUGUUUUUAAAAGACCUAGCAAUAGGUAUGCUUAGGGAGGAGCUUGCGUCACAUUAGUUAGUUGGUGGGGUAAAGGCCUACCAAGACUAUGAUGUGUAGCCGGGCUGAGAGGUUGAACGGCCACAUUGGGACUGAGACACGGCCCAAACUCCUACGGGAGGCAGCAGUAGGGAAUUUUCGGCAAUGGAGGAAACUCUGACCGAGCAACGCCGCGUGAACGAUGAAGUAUUUCGGUACGUAAAGUUCUUUUAUUAGGGAAGAAUAAAUGAUGGAAAAAUCAUUCUGACGGUACCUAAUGAAUAAGCCCCGGCUAACUAUGUGCCAGCAGCCGCGGUAAUACAUAGGGGGCAAGCGUUAUCCGGAAUUAUUGGGCGUAAAGGGUGCGUAGGCGGUUAAAUAAGUUUAUGGUCUAAGUGCAAUGCUCAACAUUGUGAUGCUAUAAAAACUGUUUAGCUAGAGUAAGAUAGAGGCAAGUGGAAUUCCAUGUGUAGUGGUAAAAUGCGUAAAUAUAUGGAGGAACACCAGUAGCGAAGGCGGCUUGCUGGGUCUUUACUGACGCUGAGGCACGAAAGCGUGGGGAGCAAACAGGAUUAGAUACCCUGGUAGUCCACGCCGUAAACGAUGAGUACUAAACGUUGGGUAAAACCAGUGUUGAAGUUAACACAUUAAGUACUCCGCCUGAGUAGUACGUACGCAAGUAUGAAACUUAAAGGAAUUGACGGGACUCCGCACAAGCGGUGGAUCAUGUUGUUUAAUUCGAAGGUACCCGAAAAACCUCACCAGGUCUUGACAUGCUUCUGCAAAGCUGUAGAAACACAGUGGAGGUUAUCAGUUGCACAGGUGGUGCAUGGUUGUCGUCAGCUCGUGUCGUGAGAUGUUGGGUUAAGUCCCGCAACGAGCGCAACCCUUAUUGUUAGUUACCAGCACGUAAUGGUGGGGACUUUAGCAAGACUGCCAGUGAUAAAUUGGAGGAAGGUGGGGAUGACGUCAAAUCAUCAUGCCCCUUAUGACCUGGGCUACAAACGUGAUACAAUGGCUGUUACAAAGGGUAGCUGAAGCGCAAGUUUUUGGCGAAUCUCAAAAAAACAGUCUCAGUUCGGAUUGAAGUCUGCAACUCGACUUCAUGAAGUUGGAAUCGCUAGUAAUCGCGAAUCAGCAUGUCGCGGUGAAUACGUUCUCGGGGUUUGUACACACCGCCCGUCAAACCACGAAAGUUGGCAAUACCCAAAGCCGGUGGCCUAACUUCGCAAGAAGA
rnacentral:rRNA from 1 species